rnacentral:lncRNA from 1 species
GUGGUGCUGAAGCUUAAGUUCCAUGAGCAGAAGCUGCUGGAGCAGGUGGACUUCCUGAAAUGGGAGGUCACGGACCACAGCCUCCACGGGCUGCCUCCCUGGCUGCAGAGGGAGGCCGACCCGUGCUGCAGCCAGCGGAGCCUUGCAUGCCAGAGCUGCCCAAACACUGCUGCACAAGCUGUAUGCUCUGGGCCUGGUGCCCACACAUGGCUUGCUCGAACUCUGCGACAUUGUCAGGGCUUUGUCCAGGCCUUGUCCUUGUCGUUGUCGCUGCUGCCUCCUCCCUACCAUUCUCCUCAGGCUGCAGGGCCUUCAUGGAGCAAAGCCAUGUGCUUGUAGGCCCUGGAUGUGGUUACCGACUCCACCUUUCUUUGUCACAUGCCGCAUGGAGGACUUUGUCACCUGGGUCGGCUCAUCCAAGAUCAAGCAACACAUGCCAUCAUACAACGGGGAGUGCAAUGACUUCGAUCUGGAA